rnacentral:rRNA from 1 species
UUUAACAAAGAAGAAGCAAAGCCGCGAGGUAGAGCAAAUCUCAAAAAAACAAUCUCAGUUCAGACUGCAGGCUGCAACCCGCCUGCACGAAGUCGGAAUUGCUAGUAAUCGUAGGUCAGCAUACUACGGUGAAUACGGUUCCCGGGCCUUGUACACACCGCCCGUCAAACCAUGAGAGUUGGCAACACCCGAAGUCGGUAGUCUAACCGCAAGGAGGACGCCGCCGAAGGUGGGGUUGAUGAUUAGGGUUAAGUCGUAACAAGGUAGC